CUCUCUUUUAUGUUACUGGAGCGACUGCAUUUGUCAUUGUGAUUGGAAUCAUCCUGGGAUUUAUCAGAGAAGAAAUGGAACACAUGACCACAGCACUGUACACGGAAGUGGAAUACACCGAGUGAGACGGGGCUUAAAGUUUUACAUAUAUUUCAUUUCUUAUCUCUUAUUGAAAAACAUACUGUCUUGUAUAACAAAAUAAAAAAAAAUUGUUAAAACAAA